UACGUAGGGUGCAAGCGUUGUCCGGAAUUAUUGGGCGUAAAGAGCUCGUAGGCGGUUUGUCGCGUCUGCUGUGAAAACGCGAGGCUCAACCUCGCGCCUGCAGUGGGGUACGGGCAGACUAGAGUGUGGUAGGGGAGAUUGGAAUUCCCGGUGUAGCGGUGAAAUGCGUAGAUAUCGAGAGGAACACCUGCGGCGAAGGCGGGUAGCCUGGGCCGACACUGACGUGAUGCGCGAAAGCCAGGGGAGCGAACGG
rnacentral:rRNA from 1 species